rnacentral:rRNA from 1 species
ACUCAACACGGGGAAACUCACCAGGUCCAGACACAUUAAGGAUUGACAGAUUGAGAGCUCUUUCUUGAUUAUGUGGGUGGUGGUGCAUGGCCGUUCUUAGUUGGUGGAGUGAUUUGUCUGCUUAAUUGCGAUAACGAACGAGACCUUAACCUGCUAAAUAGCCAGGCUAGCUUUUGCUGGUCGCCGGCUUCUUAGAGGGACUAUCGGCUCAAGCCGAUGGAAGUUUGAGGCAAUAACAGGUCUGUGAUGCCCUUAGAUGUUCUGGGCCGCACGCGCGCUACACUGACAGAGCCAACGAGUAUAAACCUUAACCGAGAGGUUUGGGUAAUCUUGUUAAACUCUGUCGUGCUGGGGAUAGGGCAUUGCAAUUAUUGCCCUUCAACGAGGAAUAUCUAGUAAGCGCAAGUCAUCAGCUUGCGUUGAUUACGUCCCUGCCCUUUGUACACACCGCCCGUCGCUACUACCGAUUGAAUGGCUUAGUGAGAUCUCCGGAUUGGCGU